UACGUAGGGUGCAAGCGUUGUCCGGAAUUUAUUGGGCGUAAAGAGCUCGUAGGCGGUUUGUCGCGUCUGCUGUGAAACCCGAGGCUCAACCUCGGGCCUGCAGUGGGUACGGGCAGACUAGAGUGCGGUAGGGGAGAUUGGAAUUCCUGGUGUAGCGGUGGAAUGCGCAGAUAUCAGGAGGAACACCAAUGGCGAAGGCAGAUCUCUGGGCCGUAACUGACGCUGGAGGAGCGAAAGCAUGGGGAGCGAACAGG
rnacentral:rRNA from 1 species